UACGAAGGGGGCUAGCGUUGCUCGGAAUCACUGGGCGUAAAGGGUGCGUAGGCGGGUCUUUUAAGUCAGGGGGUGAAAUCCUGGAGCUCAACUCCAGAACUGCCUUUGAUACUGAGGAUCUUGAGUUCGGGAGAGGUGAGUGGAACUGCGAGUGUAGAGGUGAAAUUCGUAGAUAUUCGCAAGAACACCAGUGGCGAAGGCGGCUCACUGGCCCGGUACUGACGCUGAGGUGCGAAAGCGUGGGGAGCAACAGG
rnacentral:rRNA from 1 species